GACGAACGCUGGCGGCGUGCCUAAUACAUGCAAGUAGAACGCUGAAGGAGGAGCUUGCUCUUCUGGAUGAGUUGCGAACGGGUGAGUAACGCGUAGGUAACCUGCCUGGUAGCGGGGGAUAACUAUUGGAAACGAUAGCUAAUACCGCAUAACAGUAGAUGUUGCAUGACAUUUACUUAAAAGGUGCAAUUGCAUCACUACCAGAUGGACCUGCGUUGUAUUAGCUAGUUGGUGGGGUAACGGCUCACCAAGGCGACGAUACAUAGCCGACCUGAGAGGGUGAUCGGCCACACUGGGACGGAGACACGGCCCAGACUACUACGGGAGGCAGCAGUAGGGAAUCUUCGGCAAUGGACGGAAGUCUGACCGAGCAACGCCGCGUGAGUGAAGAAGGGUUUCGGAUCGUAAAGCUCUGUUGUAAGAGAAGAACGAGUGUGAGAGUGGAAAGUUCACACUGUGACGGUAUCUUACCAGAAAGGGACGGCUAACUACGUG
rnacentral:rRNA from 1 species